rnacentral:rRNA from 1 species
UACGUAGGGUGCAAGCGUUGUCCGGAAUUAUUGGGCGUAAAGAGCGUGUAGGCGGCCCGAUUAGUCCGCUGUGAAAGUCCAGGGCUCAACCCUGGAAUGCCGGUGGAUACUGUCGGGCUAGAGUCCGGAAGGGGCGAGUGGAACUCCUGGUGUAGCGGUGAAAUGCGCAGAUAUCAGGAAGAACACCAAUGGCGAAGGCAGCUCGCUGGGACGUGACUGACGCUGAGGCGCGAAAGCGUGGGGAGCAAACAGG